rnacentral:rRNA from 1 species
UACGGAGGGUGCAAGCGUUAUCCGGAAUCACUGGGUUUAAAGGGUGCGUAGGCGGUGGCGUAAGUCAGUUGUGAAAUUCCCCGGCUUGACCGGCGGGAGUGCGAUUGAUACUGCGUUACUUGAAUCAGGUUGAGGGUAGGCGGAAUGUGACAUGUAGCGGUGAAAUGCUUAGAUAUGUCAUAGAACACCGAUUGCGAAGGCAGCUUGCUGGACCUGUAUUGACGCUGAGGCACGAAAGCGUGGGGAGCAAACAGG